rnacentral:rRNA from 1 species
ACGAACGCUGGCGGCGUGCUUCACACAUGCAAGUCGAACGGAAAGGCCCUGCUUUUGUGGGGUGCUCGAGUGGCGAACGGGUGAGUAACACGUGAGUAACCUGCCCUUGACUUUGGGAUAACUUCAGGAAACUGGGGCUAAUACCGGAUAGGAGCUCCUGCUGCAUGGUGGGGGUUGGAAAGUUUCGGCGGUUGGGGAUGGACUCGCGGCUUAUCAGCUUGUUGGUGGGGUAGUGGCUUACCAAGGCUUUGACGGGUAGCCGGCCUGAGAGGGUGACCGGCCACAUUGGGCCUGAGAUACGGCCCAGACUCCUACGGGAGGCAGCGGUGGGGAAUAUUGCACAAUGGGCGGAAGCCUGAUGCAGCAACGCCGCGUGCGGGGUGACGGCCUUCGGGUUGUAAACCGCUUUCGCCUGUGACGAAGCGUGAGUGACGGUAAUGGGUAAAGAAGCACCGGCUAACUACGCG